rnacentral:rRNA from 1 species
UUGGACCUGAUAUCAGGCAAGAUUACCCGCUGAACUUAAGCAUAUCAU